GGGUCUGAGCUCUGGUACAGAGGUUCACUCUACAGAGGUGGGAAAGCACAGAGGUCCCUGUUGCAUUUUUCCCAUCGCCACAUGAGAAGGAGUGUUGGUGCUGUUGGACUUUGAAAAUCAAGGCAGAACAUCCUUUCAUGUUGAAUCCAGCAGGAGAAACCUGGGCUAGGCAGGCAUAUGAACACUCCAGCCCUGGCUGCUACCUAGCAGAGUGCUCUGGGGCCUCCAUGUUUUCUUCUUGGCCCCUAAUAAAGACAGAAGGAAGAACUCUAAGGGAGUUGGUGAUUAGCUCCUUCUUCAUGCCCAGGAGAAUUCUGAAAUGAAAUAUGUAUUCUUGGUGUAGCUUUAAUCAAGAUUGAUGAUGUGGGACAAAAACAAGCCACAAAACAUCGGCUUGGGAUUCACACUGCUUCAGGAUGAGUCCUGGCCUUGCCACUUACAAGAUAUGUGGUCUAGAAUAAUUUGAUCUCUCUAAGCCUCAGUUUUCUUACCUGUAAAAUGGUAAUAUUGACACCUAUUUUAUAGAUGGUGUUCAAAUAAUUAAGUGAUGUGAUAUAUUUUAAGCAUUUAGCAAUGUUUGGGGCAGAGAGGAUUUUUAAUAUGUGUUUGUGCUUUUUCCUUUGUCCUUCUAAAGCAAGUACAACUAAGUACUUGUUUUUGCUCUUAUAUCUCUGGAGGAUCAUCAGAAAGCAUCUUUGUGUGUUACGCAUUUAACCUACAUCAUACUUUUUUAUCCUCCCAAUAAUUUUAUGACUAAAUACUAUAAUUAUGCUCAUCUUUUAAAGAAACUGAGAUUCAGAGAGAUUAAGCAACUUGAUUAAUGAUCACAAAGAUAGUACUUGUCACAGGUAAGACUUGCAUUCUAGUCAUUAAACCCAGAGCCCCUUUUCUUUUAGUACUUGCUUUUUCUUUGAAAUUUGCAUGGAUCCUGACUUUGUAGUGGCCAGAGAUCAAGCUGAGUUAUCUCUGCCCCUGCCUACAGAUCUUCCUGUUUUCACUUCCAUUAGAAAUACCUUGACCUAAGGUCAACUCUAGACAUGUUGAGCCUUUACUGAGGAAGGGGGAAUAGUUGUUAGGUUGAGUGUGACCCCUGUAUUCUGUAGGACUGGGACACCAUAAUUUAAUCCUGGUAGGGUCUCAGACAGACAAUAAAAAAUAAAAAAUAAUGUAUGUCUGUUGUCUUUCCACCCCUCACCCCCAAACCUCAUCCCCAUCCCAGGGAUGCACACCUGCAUAGAAUGCACCCAUCCUUGCAAGGUCACCUCUGGGUGUCUGGGUUUCUCUACUGAAGGUCAUAGCUUGUCUCAAAAUCUGAAGACUGGAAGUCCAAGAUCAAGGUGCCAUCAGUGAUCAGUUCCGUGACUCCUGCCAGAGAAAUAUAACACCAGAGAAGCUCUUGAUGCCGUCUUUG